rnacentral:rRNA from 1 species
UACGUAGGUGGCAAGCGUUAUCCGGAAUUAUUGGGCGUAGAGAGCGCGCAGGUGGUUGAUUAAGUCUGAUGUGAAAGCCCACGGCUUAACCGUGGAGGGUCAUUGGAAACUGGUCGACUUGAGUGCAGAAGAGGGAAGUGGAAUUCCUAGUGUAGCGGUGAAAUGCGUAGAUAUUAUGAGGAACACCAGUUGCGAAGGCGGCUCUCUGGACUGUAACUGACACUGAGGCACGAAAGUGUGGGGAGCAAACAGGAUUAGAUA